rnacentral:misc_RNA from 1 species
AAGUCGUAACAAGGUUUCCGUAGGUGAACCUGCGGAAGGAUCAUUAACAAAUCUAUGAGCGAAAGCUCAUCAACCUUUGUGAAUUGGGUUGUGUAGUUGGUAACAAUUAUUCAACUUUGUUGGGGACCCUUUGUGUAUGUAAUGUAAUGUAAUGUAAUGUAAUGUAAUAUAAUAUAAUAGAAAGAUUAUUUCGAAAGAUUUAAUUUUUCUAUUGCAUGCAUGCAUAUCAUAUCAUAUCAUAUCAUAUCAUAUCAUAUAUAAUAUUAACAUUGUCUGAUUAUAGAUUGAAGUCGUAAGAUUUCAAAUAAAAAUACAACUUUUAACAAUGGAUCUCUAGGCUCUU